rnacentral:tRNA from 1 species
GGGACUGUGCUCAGUGAUAGAGUUUGUGCUUAGCACACACAAGGUCCUGGGUUCAAUCCCCAGUACUUCCA